rnacentral:rRNA from 1 species
GACGAACGCUGGCGGCGUGCUUAACACAUGCAAGUCGAACGGAAAGGCCCUGCUUUUGUGGGGUGCUCGAGUGGCGAACGGGUGAGUAACACGCGAGUAACCUGCCCUUGACUUUGGGAUAACUUCAGGAAACUGGGGCUAAUACCGGAUAGGAGCUCCUGCUGCAUGGUGGGAGUUGGAAAGUUUCGGCGGUUGGGGAUGGACUCGCGGCUUAUCAGCUUGUUGGUGGGGUAGUGGCUUACCAAGGCCUUGACGGGUAGCCGGCCUGAGAGGGUGACCGGCCACAUUGGGACUGAGAUACGGCCCAGACUCCUACGGGAGGCAGCAGUGGGGAAUAUUGCACAAUGGGCGGAAGCCUGAUGCAGCAACGCCGCGUGCGGGAUGACGGCCUUCGGGUUGUAAACCGCUUUCGCCUGUGACGAAGCGUGAGUGACGGUAAUGGGUAAAGAAGCACCGGCUAACUACGUG